rnacentral:rRNA from 1 species
UACGUAGGGGGCAAGCGUUGUCCGGAAUCAUUGGGCGUAAAGCGCGCGUAGGCGGCCCGGUAAGUCCGCUGUAAAAGUCCAGGGCUCAACCCUGGAAAGCCGGUGGAUACUGUCGGGCUAGAGUCCGGAAGAGGCGAGUGGAAUUCCCGGUGUAGCGGUGAAAUGCGCAGAUAUCAGGAGGAACACCGGUGGCGAAGGCGGGUCUCUGGGCCGAUACUGACGCUGAGGAGCGAAAAGCGUGGGGAGCGAACAGG